CGGUGACAAUAGCGAGGAGGAUACACCUGUUCCCAUCCCGAACACAGUAGUUAAGCUCCUUUGCGCUGAGGAUACUUGGUGGGAAGCUGCCCGGGAAAGUAGGUCGUCGCCGG
rnacentral:rRNA from 1 species